rnacentral:lncRNA from 1 species
AUCUUUCUCUUUUUCUCAAUGUAAAUUCUUUUUUAAAUUAUAUUCUUUUUUUAAUAUAUGUAUUUAGUUUUAAUAUAUAUAAUAUUAAUCAAUUAUAUUAGAAUAGUGCUUAUUUUAUCCUUAUACUUCUUAUAACAUUGAUUUAGUGUCGUGUAUAUUUUGAGUUAUUAGAUUUUUUUAGAUUUAAUCACAAUCGUUGGAUGAAAAAAUUAUUAAUACAAUGAUAAAUUGCUCUAUGAUAAUACUUCUAUUAAAUUAUAAUUUUUUUUCUAAUAAUAAAAUCAGUUUGGUGGCAAGAGUAGACUACAGAGAACUGUAUGUAUGAAUAAUUUGAAUUCCGGUGAAAUGAGAUUAUAUGAUUGGUAUACAUUUGUCAAGCUGCAUAUCAUUUUCUUAGUUAAUGGCAAUAUUGAGGGACAUAGAAAGGUAGUCAAAGCUGGUGGACUUUAUGGUUGUCAUGUGUGUUCCUACUCCAAAAUUGAAGUCCUUUCAAUUGAGGCUUUGAACCAGCCUAACCACCUCCCUGCACGUCAGGUUCUUUUAGCUGUUGGGUCUUCACCCCAUGACAAUGUAUCAUCACAUUCUGAUUCUUGUUUCUGUGUCCUCCCACAUGUAACCAGCAUUCUAAAAUACAUAUGAAAAAAAACCCAUUAUUCUGAUUUGCCAACACAAUGUUUUUUUAAGCUCAUUUAACACAGUUCAUUAGUUAAUGAAAUGGGUAAUUUGUGUCACCAAGGGUUAAAAGGUAAUACAAAAUAUGCUCUGAAACGAUUCUUUUUCUUCUGGGUUAAGGGGUAGAUAUUGUUAGCUUGAAAAAGAUGAAGAAAAUACCAGAGGAUAUUCAACGCCACUUGUUGACCUCAAAGUUGACCUUGUAAUAUUGGUCAACUCUUCCAUGUGCCUUGUAAUAAGAUGUAAGUAAGCAGUCAUGUAUGGGUCAGCAGACACCCCAUUGUAACAUCUUCUUCAAGCUUUAAAAUCAAUAAAAGUUAUGUGUCUUUUUGAAUUUUUCUUUUUUCAUCUUCUUAAAAAGAAGGAACAGGUAAAGGAAAGUAUAAAAGGGUUAAGCAAGAGAAAAGGAAAAUGUCAACUAACAGGAGGGAACAUAAGCAAGUUUCAUACUUAGAGAGAGAAUUGGAUGAAUUUUUCUUUAUUUGAAAUAAAAUAUAAUACAAUGUCAAUGGUAAAUUGUUAUUAUAAUAGAGUGCAAAAUCUCUGAAUUAAUCAUCUUUUACUAGUCAGAAUUUUUCAACAGCUUAUCAAAAUAAGAGCUAUCUGCAUGCAUACUUUUGCCAUUAGCUUCAGCAAAAUGUGAACAUGUCUAAUUAAACUAAUGAGCUAUCUGCAUAUUCUUUUUAGAUCAGGCACAAGGCUCAUUCAACAAGUAGAAGUAACAUGGAAAACUAAUGAGCUAUAAAAAUGUAACAAAAGAAAAGACCUUAGAUGGCAUGGCAUAACAGUUGAUAAUAGAGAAAAACCAAAAGCCAAAAAGCCAUAAANNN